rnacentral:rRNA from 1 species
GACGAACGCUGGCGGCGUGCUUAACACAUGCAAGUCGAACGGUGAAGCGCCUUCCUUUUUGGUGGGUGUGGAUGAGUGGCGAACGGGUGAGUAACACGUGAGUAACCUGCCCCCUUCUUCUGGAUAACCACAUGAAAGUGUGGCUAAUACGGGAUAUUCUGGGUCUGUCGCAUGAUGGGUCUGGGAAAGAUAUUGUUUCGGUGGGGGAUGGGCUCGCGGCCUAUCAGCUUGUUGGUGGGGUGAUGGCCAACCAAGGCGGUGACGGGUAGCCGGCCUGAGAGGGUGGACGGUCACACUGGGACUGAGACACGGCCCAGACUCCUACGGGAGGCAGCAGUGGGGAAUAUUGCACAAUGGGCGCAAGCCUGAUGCAGCGACGCCGCGUGAGGGAUGGAGGCCUUCGGGUUGUGAACCUCUUUCGCCAGUGAAGCAGGCCUGCCUCGUUUGUGGGUGGGUUGACGGUAGCUGGAUAAGAAGCGCCGGCUAACUACGUG